UUUAUAAAAUAUUUUUAUUUUCUAGUUUACAAUUGUUAUUAAGUAACGUCCUCUCAAACCCGUCCCACAAAAAAAAACCCGCGGUACACCGCUAAUUUAAAUAUAUAAUUAAAAUAAAUAUUUUACGGGAUUGCAAUUGUAUUUUGGUUUGUCAAACAAAUAUUUGUUUUAAAUAGUUGCCAAAAUCUAGUUCAAAUUUUGGAGAAAUAAGAUUUAUUGGAUAGAUAAAGAAUGUAUUUAGGUGUGUUUUGCUCUUUUUAAGGGAUUGCAAUUGUAUUUUGGUUUGUCAAGCAUUUUUUGUUUUAAAUAGUUGUUGAAAUCUAGUUUAAAUUUUGGAGAAAUCUGCCUGACAUAUGAGAUUAGAAUAUAUUUGAAAUAUUUUUUGUUUGUUAAUCAAUUUAUUACUAAAA
rnacentral:sRNA from 1 species